rnacentral:rRNA from 1 species
UAAGGAAUAUUGGUCAAUGGACGCAAGUCUGAACCAGCCAUGCCGCGUGAAGGAUGAAGGUCCUCUGGAUUGUAAACUUCUUUUAUCUGGGACGAAAACGGGAUUUUUAUCUCAAUUGACGGUACCAGAGGAAUAAGCACCGGCUAACUCCGUGCCAGCAGCCGCGGUAAUACGGAGGGUGCGAGCGUUAUCCGGAUUUACUGGGUUUAAAGGGUGCGUAGGUGGGCUUAUAAGUCAGUGGUGAAAUCUCCGAGCUUAACUUGGAAACUGCCGUUGAUACUAUAGGUCUUGAAUUAUCUGGAGGUAAGCGGAAUAUGUCAUGUAGCGGUGAAAUGCUUAGAUAUGACAUAGAACACCAAUUGCGAAGGCAGCUUACUACAUAUAAAUUGACGCUG